GACUCAACGCGGGAAAUCUUACCGGGUCCGGACACACUGAGGAUUGACAGGCAAUAUUAAAAAUAUUUUUGUUCCUUCAUUGGUUCAAUUUUAUUUUUAUGUUAAAUAUGCUAGUCCUUUCAUGAUUAUGUGAUAGGUGGUGCAUGGCCGUUCUUAGUUCGUGGAGUGAUCUGUCUGCUUAAUUGCGUUUCACUUAAGGGCUUAUUAAUUACGCGCGUUGCUAACUGCUCUGACCCCUGGUAUUCAUUUACUUGCGCGUGUCUCAGCUUUGUUUAGCACGCACAAUUAAGUCCUGAAAGCAACGAACGUGACCGCAACCCCUUGUUGCCUUUUGCACAAUUCUACAUUUUUACUUUUGUAUUUAUGUGGAAAAAAGAGGCUUUUAAACUAGGGGGACCGCUGUAAUCUUUUUAAACCAGAGGAAGGUUGCGGCAAUAACAGGUCUGUGAUGCCCUUAGAUGUUCCGGGCUGCACACGUGCUACAAUGAUUAUUGCAGUGAGCAUCUCAUUUUACACACACCGCUUGCGCGAGACCUUUUUCAUUCACUUGUGUUUGAAUUUGUGCUCUUUGCGCGCGGUAAAGCCUGCUUCGAAAGUAAGUGGGUAAUCAAUUAGAAGUAAUGAUUUCCCUUCGCACACUCAUAUACGGCGUUUGAUCCCGGGGCGAGCUUUGUCUUGCCUUUUGUGUGUUCAAAUGUUUUUCCGUAUGUGCAAUUGUCAAUUCAUGGUGGGGACAGACCAUUGUUAAUUGUUGGUCUCGGUCUUAACUAGGAAUGCCUUGUACGGGUCUUUGGUUCAACAAACCACCCGGAAUACGUCCCUGCCCUUUGUACACACCGGCCGUCGCUCUUACCGAUGGACUUCUCUGUGAGUUUGAGGGACUGGAUAUUUGUCGCUUCUGUGGCAUACCAUCUAUGGAAACUUAAACGAACAGUGUGGUCUAAAGGAAAGAGAAGUCGUAACAAGGCAUCGGUAGGUGAACCUGC
rnacentral:rRNA from 1 species